rnacentral:rRNA from 1 species
AGCGUGGAGACAGGUGGUGCAUGGCUGUCGUCAGCUCGUGUCGUGAGAUGUUGGGUUAAGUCCCGCAACGAGCGCAACCCUCACCCCUUGUUGCCAUCAGGUGAUGCUGGGCACUCUAGGGGAACUGCCCCGGUCAACGGGGAGGAAGGCGGGGAUGACGUCAAGUCAUCAUGCCCCUUACGUCCUGGGCUACACACGUGCUACAAUGGCCGGUACAAAGGGAUGCAACACCGCGAGGUAGAGCUAAAUCCAAAAAGCCGGUCUAAGUUCAGAUUGGAGUCUGCAACUCGACUCCAUGAAGGAGGAAUCGCUAGUAAUCGCGUAUCAGCACGACGCGGUGAAUACGUUCCCGGGCCUUGUACACACCGCCCGUCACACCACGAAAGCCAGCUGUACUCGAAGUCGCUGAG